rnacentral:rRNA from 1 species
GACGAACGCUGGCGGCGUGCUUAACACAUGCAAGUCGAACGGAAAGGCCCUGCUUUUGUGGGGUGCUCGAGUGGCGAACGGGUGAGUAACACGUGAGUAACCUGCCCUUGACUUUGGGAUAACUUCAGGAAACUGGGGCUAAUACCGGAUAGGAGCUCCUGCUGCAUGGUGGGGGUUGGAAAGUUUCGGCGGUUGGGGAUGGACUCGCGGCUUAUCAGCUUGUUGGUGGGGUAGUGGCUUACCAAGGCUUUGACGGGUAGCCGGCCUGAGAGGGUGAGCGGCCACAUUGGGACUGAGAUACGGCCAAGACUCCUACGGGAGGCAGCAGUGGGAGAUAUUGCACAAUGGGCGGAAGCCUGAUGCAGCAACGCCGCGUGCGGGAGGACGACCUUCGGGUUGUAAACCGCUUUCGCCUGUGACGAAGCGUGAGUGACGGUAAUGGGUAAAGAAGCACCGGCUAACUACGUG